rnacentral:misc_RNA from 1 species
UUGAAUAAACCUGAUGGGUUGCUGCUGAUUCAUUAUAAAUGAAUAUGUGCACAUCUGUCAUCUUUAUAUCUCCACCUGUGCACCUUUUGUAGACCUAGACAAGUUUCUUAAUGCUAGCAUUAAGGUCUUAGGAUUGACUUUUGUCUCUCCUUAUAGUUCUGGGCCUAUGUUUAUUCAUAUACCCUAAUGUAUGUUAAAGAAUGUAAUAAGUGGGCCUUUGUGCCUAUAAUACUAUA